AUUUUUAUUGCCUGAUAAAAAUUUUAUCAGCGGCAAUAUUUGUGCGUGGGCAUUUUUUAUCUUGAUAAAAGCAUUUAUAAGAUGGCAAUUUUUGCCGGAUUUCAUCAAAUAAAAAAAAAAAAAUUAAUAGAAA